AUUGAACGCUGGCGGCAUGCCUUACACAUGCAAGUCGAACGGUAACAGGUCUUCGGAUGCUGACGAGUGGCGAACGGGUGAGUAAUACAUCGGAACGUGCCCGAUCGUGGGGGAUAACGGAGCGAAAGCUUUGCUAAUACCGCAUACGAUCUACGGAUGAAAGCAGGGGACCGCAAGGCCUUGCGCGGACGGAGCGGCCGAUGGCAGAUUAGGUAGUUGGUGGGAUAAAAGCUUACCAAGCCGACGAUCUGUAGCUGGUCUGAGAGGACGACCAGCCACACUGGGACGGAGACAUGGACCAGACUCCUACAGGAGGCAGCAGUGGGGAAUUUUGGACAAUGGGCGAAAGCCUGAUCCAGCCAUGCCGCGUGCAGGAUGAAGGCCUUCGGGUUGUAAACUGCUUUUGUACGGAACGAAAAGACUCUUUCUAAUAAAGAGGGUCCAUGACGGUACCGUAAGAAUAAGCACCGGCUAACUACGUGCCAGCAGCCGCGGUAAUAC
rnacentral:rRNA from 1 species